rnacentral:rRNA from 1 species
ACAGCAGUAGCCGCGGGAAUACGGAGGGGGCUAGCGUUGUUCGGAAUUACUGGGCGUAAAGCGCACGUAGGCGGCUUGGUAAGUUAGAGGUGAAAGCCCGGAGCUCGACUCCGGAAUUGCCUUUAAGACUGCCGAGCUAGUAGGUGAGAGAGGUAAGUGGAAUUCCGAGUGUAGAGGUGAAAUUCGUAGAUAUUCGGAAGAACACCAGUGGCGAAGGCGGCUUACUGGCUCAUUCUAGACGCUGAGGUGCGAAAGCGUGGGGAGCAAACAGGAUUAGAUACCCGGGUAGUCCCUGUCUCUUAUAC